CAUUUGCCUGACCACCAUAGUUUCCUGAAGCCUGGGAUGGAUCAGAUCUCCAACCAGCAUUUCCAUAACCUGUAUUUCCAUUUGAAUCGCCAUAGCCACUCCCAACAUAGCCACCACCACUACCUUGCUCCCCACCUGCGCCACCAACAUUGUUAUUUGGGACACUCCCUGAACGCCCUCCAACAGCACCAUAACCAGACGGAUUUGCAUAGGACGCAUCACUUCCACUGUACCCACCAUAACCAUAACCUUGCGCUCCAUACCCAGCCGCUGCACUAGGUGAUUGACCAGCAGG
rnacentral:lncRNA from 1 species